UACGGGGGGGGCAAGCGUUGUCCGGAAUUAUUGGGCGUAAAGAGCUCGUAGGCGGUCUGUUGCGUCUGCUGUGAAAACCCGGGGCUUAACCCCUGGCUUGCAGUGGAUACGGACAGACUAGAGGUAGGUAGGGGAGAAUGGAAUUCCCGGUGUAGCGGUGAAAUGCGCAGAUAUCAGGAAGAACACCCGUGGCGAAGGCGGCUCUCUGGGACGGUACUGACGCUGAGACGCGAAAGCGUGGGGAGCGAACAGG
rnacentral:rRNA from 1 species